UGAACUGUCUAUUCAUUUAUUAUAGCUUGAUCAAGUUUUCAAAGGUUUUAAGUCCCACAAGCGCACAUUUGUCCGGCAAUUCAGGAAUGGCUCCAUUAUAGUAGAUGCUGGAGUUGAAUACGACAAAGUCUCUAGUCCUUCUGCAACAGAGCUAGCUAAAGCCCUUGCUGAUGGUGUUAGAAAUGGAGUAGUCAAAUUGCCAAUUGAUACACAAACUAUCCAAGUUACAGACUCCACAGGAUUCACUGCUAACAAGUCUCCAGUCUUGGCUAGCAUGCUCACUGCUCUCUGGAUGACGCACA